rnacentral:tRNA from 1 species
UUUUAUUGACAUAAACUUUCAAUUUAUGUUAGGAUAUGUAGAUGGAGAGGGCCGGAAUAGCUCAGUUGGUAGAGCAGAGGACUGAAAAUCCUCGUGUCACCAGUC